GAUUGGAAUCUUAGAAGGACUCAAUGAUGAUGGGGAUUGUGGUAUUUUUAAGUGAUCAUUAUGAUUAAUAUCACUUACAUUUGAAGGGAUGGUAUCGUCUAAGUGUUUUUUAAGAUAACGAGCAUUGGAUGGGCUUACGGUCAUGGAGUGGGGAUACUUGUCACGCGAAAAAGGCUGUGAGGACUGAGCUGAUGGCGAUGAUUGAGGCGGACUAGAAGAUAGCCCUAUAGAAGUAGAAGUUUUUUGAAGAAAAGGGGUAACGCUCAAGGGGGAUCCUGAAGUUGCAUUUGGUUGUCGAGUACCCAUAAUUGCCUGUUUCGAAGGGGAAAAAAGUUUUGGGGACGAAACACGAGGAGAAACAAGUAAACUCUUUCUCUCAGUACUCUUUUUUUGCAUCCUCAGCUUCCUAUCCUGGGUAGCCAGUUUCGACUCAAGGACUUGCAAUCGAACCUUCCAGUUGGACUCUUCUGUUUCCAGUUUAAUCUUAAAUCUAUCAAGCUCAGACUCCUUCGAAGAUACAUGUGAUUGAAGAUUUAAAACUUCAGCGUCUUUUUCUUUUAAAGCUUUUUUCAAAUUUGCAAUAAUCAAAUGAAGUCUUGUAGCUUUUUCAUCUUUGUUAGCUUUGUGGGUUUUUGAAGGAGAAGAAACCGUAUCUAAGGAACCUCGUAACCUAUUUUGAGACACUGCAUCCUCAUGUUUUUCAGGGUUAGAUUUUUGGAUUUGCAACUGGGAAUUCAAGGAGUUAAUUUCCUGCACAUAAUCCGAGAUUUUGUGCUCCAGCCGUUCGACUUUCAACCUGUAAUCAUUUGCUUCAUUUUGUUCUUGUUCUAAUAAUUUCUCGUUGUUGAGUUUUUCAUUUUGCAGGAAUUUAAUUUCGUCGAGGUUUUUAUGUAGCAAUUCGGAAUCAGUAGCGGAUUGCUUAAGUGCGUCCAAAAAUGAUUUUUGUAAAGAAUCCGAGCGAAGUAAAUGAGCUAAGUUCAGUGCUUUUGAAAGAUAGAAUAAAAUCUGAUUGCGACGACUAGUAACACUUAAUCCUAAAUUAUCAAGUUUUGAAUCAG